rnacentral:rRNA from 1 species
UACGUAGGUCCCGAGCGUUGUCCGGAUUUAUUGGGCGUAAAGCGAGCGCAGGUGGUUUAUUAAGUCUGGUGUAAAAGGCAGUGGCUCAACCAUUGUAUGCAUUGGAAACUGGUAGACUUGAGUGCAGGAGAGGAGAGUGGAAUUCCACGUGUAGCGGUGAAAUGCGUAGAUAUAUGGGGGAACACCGGUGGCGAAAGCGGCUCUCUGGCCUGUAACUGACACUGAGGCUCGAAAGCGUGGGAAGCAAACAGG